AUCAGGGAGACUGCCGGGCUGUCAUGAGGUGAUGAUUAAUGUUCCUUUUGUCCGUCACGGCCAUGUUUUGGCAAACCCCUCAGAUCAGGGAAGACCUUAGGAAGACUCCUCGUAAACUCCAUAUGCGCUCCUCCUACAGUGCGAGAAAGACGACGAAUCUCGUAGGUUUCCGAACGCGCAUUCUCAUCCCCGGUAUAAAUUAUGCCUCCUCCCUACCAAGGAGCACCAUUCGACUGCAGAUCGUCCCCCACACCACCCACUACAACAUGCUCUUCGUGCGCUCACCGCUGGCCGCCGCCCUGGGCGCGCUGCUGCUCGUCGCCGUGCUGCUCCCGGAGUGCCUCGCCCAGUACUACGACCCGUACUACGGCCCCGGCUACUACCACCGCCGCUCCUACCACUACUACGGCGGCGGCUACCCCGUCGUCGGCGCCGGUGUUGGCUUCCACGUCGGCGUGGGUGCCGGCUACGGUGGGGGUUACGGCGGGUACGGUGGUGGUUACUACCGCCGUUGAGAGGCUCAAUUCGCUUAACUAUCUGUGCUGGUGUCCGCGCGUUGAUGUACACCGGGCAGAAACUACGAAGUUCGCAGGCUUUCUUUCAAGCGGAUUCUAACAGAAUCUGCCCAUUUAAUGAGGCGCUUUAGUGCAAUAAGGUCCCACUAAGGGGUCUUGGGCCAAGGCUUAGCUCUCCCCCUCGCUCUCUGGAUCCGCGUGCCCGUGCGUAUAUCCGGCAGAGGGCAGUCCCAGGAGGCAGAUAUCUUCAAAUUUUAUUUGGUAGAUUGUUAAUAAGUGUAAGGAGUGCGGUAGAAUGCAGACAUGUCUAUACCUCUGUAUUACACUCGAGUUGUACGAAAUAAAAGAGAAAACGGAUGUAUCUCUGCCUUUAUAAAAUAAUUACCAUCUACAUUCGCCAUUCAUUCGCACGCUUUUAUUUUCCGACAACACGCUCAGUCAUUCCCUCGUGUCACGAACUGCGGUUUUGACUUUGGGUUUUACCCGACGAGAGCAAAGAACAAAAGAAAAAGAAUCACUCAUCAGAGGUGGGUACCACGCCCCCUUCGAAUAUAUCCUACGAGCAUGCCUCCUCCGCAUCCGUCGCAGGUCGCAGUACCGCGCUUUAAAAACAUCGGCUUCCCGAGGAACCAGUUCCAGUUGGCUCUGUAUACCGUCAGAGGCACCCGCACACGAAUGUCUUCCCCAGCCGCCGCUCUUCGCGCCCUGGUGGUGCUGUGCGGAGCCCUGCUCGUCGCGCUGCCGCCGCCGCCGGCAGCCGCCUACCCGCGCCCCUUCCCGCACCCGCACCCCCAUCCCCGGGCCUUCCCCAUGGCGAUGCCCAGCUACGACCCCUACUGCCCGUACCCGGAGGGCGGUGGCGACGGGUACGACUACGCCUACGGCGCUGAGGACGGCAACGGGCUGUACGGCUCCGGCGAUGCGGGCUACGCGCAAGGCUACAACGCCUACUCCAGCUACAGCGGCUACGGCGCCGGCUCCAUGGGCGGCUAUGGGGGUGGCUACGCGCACCCUUCCGGCAUGAGCGCGUCGUCCUUUGGAGUCGGCUUCGGCAGGUAGAUUGGUCUGCGGUUCGACGUGGGGUACAGAAAACGUCCUAAGGCGAGACUACUUUAUCAUCUACUAUUUCUCGAGCAGGGCGGGGCGAAGAAGGGAGGAGGGGGGGGGGGGGGAAUUGGUGAUUAGGAUGGAAUCGUGACCUCCAUCAGAAGCGAGUGUUCCGAAUCGGUUUCCAAGCAAAGGCCAUUACGCGACGCCCUAGGGGCGUCAUGCUGCUGGGAAGUCCCGUGGUCGUGUCAACAUCCAAUCCUAACGUUGCUACCACCUCUCUUCGUCUUUUAAAGUUUUUUGUGAUUGUGAAUGGAUAGGGCUUGCAGCUGGGGAUAGUAAAUAUACUAUACGGAGUUUA